rnacentral:misc_RNA from 1 species
AGUUAAUGAUGCACAUUAAUAGGGUAGAGGGAGGGAGGGCAAGUGAGAGAGCUAUAGCUACCCAAACCAAAUAUUCUAAAAUUUUCUUUUAUAUAGAAAUAUAUAUUCAUAAAAAGAAUUAUUUUAUUUUAAUUAUUGACUCCUCAUAAUAAUUUAUAUUGUUUUAUCAUCAUAUGGAUAUGUAUUCAAUAAAUUUUUAUAAAGAAGGAUUCAUAUAGUCGAUCCAACUUAGGCUCUGUUUGGAUGGGGUAAGGGA